UGAGAAAAGUCGUUAUUCUGAAAAACAACAUGAUGAAUGAAUCAAACAAUACUAAAAGCUGAAUACUAAGUGUUUUUACCCUGUCCACGUUGGAAGGGAAAUUCUAGCCAAUCAGAUUGCAGGUUUGGUCCACGUCAUUACGAUAUGGUUUGGGCUUUUGUUGUUUAUUUUUUAAAUCGCAGAGUAAAAAAAUGGGCCUAAACCCUGAGUCCCACCGUUUGUUAUAGACCACGAACAUAACGACUGGCCGCGACACGAAAAGUCCGAACAUGAAACGAUUGUAAUUAAGCUUCUCCAUUAAUUUCUAUACCAACCCCUUCCUCUGCAUUACAUUUAAUUUCCUCUUUUUCUACCUAAAAAAACUUCAGAGAUAUCUACACUAUAAAUAAUGAGGAUGCUGUGAUCAAAUCUCUUCCAUUCAAUUAACCUGCAACAAUGUUGACCUCUCAUCUCCUCUCCUGCUGUCAGAUUUGAAGUCCGGUUGUUCUCCGCAGAUGGUGGUCAUGCUCUUGAUUAAUGAAAUGUUUGUCCUCCUUAUCUUACCUUUUGUUUUUUUAAUCAGUGGGUUUGAUGUUACGAGAACCAAACCGCUUCAAAUUUUCAGAUUCAUCAAUAGCUAUUCGCUUCACCUAAUCGACAUUACAUACGGAGCUCUUUAAGUUUUGUUGAUAUGAAUAAUUGAUGGCACUGACAAAUACAGAAAACAGAAUUGUCUUUUCAUUCUUGAUCCAUAAUUCAUCUCUAUCAAGGGUAAAUUUACAAAAACAGAACUGUUUUUUUCCUUCUUUUGUGAAUCUCCAAGAAAGAAAGGAAUCUGUGUGUUAUACAAUCAUGAUUGAUCUUCGGCGGACUCUAGAGUUAAGGUUGAGCUAAAUAUAAGCAAUUUGUUUCGUCGUUUCUACUCUCUAAUAUCAUCAAUACUUUCAAUGAUUUGAUCUCUCUGGCAGAGAAAAACGAGUAUAGUUUCCAAAGGGGAGGAAAUAUAAACCUGACCAACUCUUAUAGAAAGAGGCUGUAGCUCUACGCCAAGCAUGUGCUGCUGUUUUGGAACGUUCAUAUAUUCGAAAUCAGAAUACUGCUGAGCUCUUUAUUGGUCAUAGUGACAACAUUGAUGACGCUGAGGCUUAGAACACUUACAAGGAAAUUUUUGUAUACAUAUCAUCUUUGUAAGAGACUGAUUUGAAGAUCUUUUAAAUGUAUAGUACAUAAAGGUCUCAGUGUUGUGGGACCCUUGAUCAUCGUUGAAAAAGUGAAGGUGAUGGAUCUACGAGACGUGGUCAGGUCGUGGAGGUUGAUGGCGAGAAACUAUUCAGGAACAUCUGAAAUUGGCACCGUUCAAUUCCCUGAAGAGGUACUGAAAACACAUCUAUGACAAGACAUGCUUGGGCGCAUUUUUAACUGCUCAAGAAAGCCAAUUGAUAACGGCCCUCCUAUUUUUCCUGAGGCAUACCUUGAUAUUUUCUGGAAGCUCAAUAAACCCCAGUGAAAGCACUUUUCCUGAAGAAAUGAUACAAACGGGUAUUUUUACCAUUGAUGUCAUGAACUUAUACUCUUCCUUGAAGAUGUACAUGAGACCAUUCAUGAAGGAAUCAACCUUGGUGAAGACAUCAAUGUCUCUAUAGUCAGGGAUACCAGCUGUGCUAAAUCCUCAUUUCUAAGGUACUAGUUCUCACUGGAUAUUAAUUUCUCCUGUUUUAUAUUUUCUAAAACAUGUCCGCCCCUCAGUGUUGCAUUGUUGAUGCAUGCACACCGCAGGCUUAGUGCCAAGUUAUGUGUAUACAUCUAGGAAGUGGCUACGCGCGGUGACAUAUGUUGACCGUCAGUAAUAUGUUGUUUUAGCUUUUUCUUAACUCACGUCUAAUCUGUGGCUGAGUUUUACAGUUUAGGUAUGCGGUAUUCUGUGCCUAUAUGAGGGUAAUUGUGGGUAUGGAGGGAUGAAUUUAAGAUAAUUGGCGUGUAACUUAUGUGAACGGAAAACAGGACAUUCCUUUUUUUCAAACUGGCAUAGACUAAAAUAUUUGUAUAAAUAUGCCAAUCUUUGUUGUUGGGGAAAGAAGUGUUCAUAUGAAUGAGUUCUUUUUGUAUGAUUUAUUUUUAACUGUGACUAUAGGUUGUUGCAAUUUAAAAACUUCAUUGGCUCAGCUUUAAUUGGAAUGUUCACUGAUAUUCAUGUAUUUUUCUUUUAUAAUUGUUUCUUGCAAGAUCCAACUCAGUCACACUGAUAUUUUUUUCUUAUUAUUUUUCUAUUA